rnacentral:rRNA from 1 species
UACCAGCACCCCGAGUGGUCGGGACGUUUAUUGGGCCUAAAGCAUCCGUAGCCGGUUCUACAAGUCUUCCGUUAAAUCCAACUGCUUAACAGGUGGGCUGCGGAAGAUACUAUAGAGCUAGGAGGCGGGAGAGGCAAGCGGUACUCGAUGGGUAGGGGUAAAAUCCGUUGAUCCAUUGAAGAACCACCAGUGGCGAAGGCGGCUUGCCAGAACGCGCUCGACGGUGACGGGAUGAAAGGCUGGGGAAGCAACCGGGAUUAAGCAAACCCGAAGUAA